rnacentral:tRNA from 3 species
GCGGGUGUGGCGGAACUGGUAGACGCGCGGGAUUCAAAAUCCCGUUCCUUCGGGAGUGGGGGUUCGAUUCCCUCCACCCGCACCA